ensembl:lncRNA
GAUUUCUCAGCUACUGCUCUAGUCCCAGGAGUUGCCCAAGUCCCGAAUAAAUUCUGUCUUGCUCAAACUUUUAAAAUUUAAUUCACCUAAGGAAUUUUCCUUUUAACAGUUUUCAUGUAGUUGGCAAGAACCAAAGUUGAACUCCAAUAGCCCAGGAGCAACCAGGCCUAGAUACUAGAAGUCUAUCCUGUUCCUGUCUUGCUGCAUCUGGGAAUUAUAGGAUGCUGGAAGUGUGUGCAAUAGAUGACCUUUCUCAUUCGACUUAAGAUGACCUGUCUCAUUCAACUUCUCAGUCUACAGAGACAAGAACUUUCAAUACCAUGUGGAAUUGAUGUAUAUACAGCAAGCAUCAUUGUCUCAUUCUUAAAGGAAAAGUUUUAAACACCUUAUUAAGUUAAAUAUUCC